rnacentral:rRNA from 1 species
UGGGGAAUAUUGCACAAUGGGGGGAACCCUGAUGCAGCCAUGCCGCGUGAAUGAAGAAGGCCUUCGGGUUGUAAAGUUCUUUCGGUGACGAGGAAGGUUGAUAGGUUAAUAGCCUAUCAAAUUGACGUUAAUCACAGAAGAAGCACCGGCUAACUCCGUGCCAGCAGCCGCGGUAAUACGGGGGGUGCGAGCGUUAAUCGGAAUAACUGGGCGUAAAGGGCACGCAGGCGGUGACUUAAGUGAGAUGUGAAAGCCCCGAGCUUAACUUGGGAAUUGCAUUUCAUACUGGGUCGCUAGAGUACUUUAGGGAGGGGUAGAAUUCCACGUGUAGCGGCGAAAUGCGUAGAGAUGUGGAGGAAUACCGAAGGCGAAGGCAGCCCCUUGGGAAUGUACUGACGCUCAUGUGCGAAAGCGUGGGGAGCAAACAGGAUUAGAUACCCUGGUAGUCCACGCUGUAAACGAUGUCGAUUUGGGGAUUGGGCUUUGAGCUUGGUGCCCGUAGCUAACGUGAUAAAUCGACCGCCUGGGGAGUACAGCCGCAAGGUUA